rnacentral:lncRNA from 1 species
UCAUUGUAUAGCCCCUAUCCUGCAUGAAAUGUUAGAGGACAUUGCAAAUAUAAAAAUCUUGGAACAUUAAGAACACGUUACAUAUAUUUGAUAGGUAGUAACACUGAAGAGUUCCUUGGAUUGCCCAAUGUCACAAAACCGUAAGAGAGCUGAGAACUGAAGUUCUGCAUUUAGAUCUCCCAGGAGAAAGCAAAGAGCAGUGAUCUGGUCUAUGGAAGCCUCUGGCACAAUGGGAAAUGCCUGACUGAUUGGUGGAUCUUUGGGAACGCAAAGGAUGUGUGACUUUAGAGACAGCUCCAGACAAAAUGCCUGCCAAGGAGUGUCAACAAAGAAGAGAAGAUAGGAAGGCAGCCGUUCAGGGCUGAGCAGAAGCCAAAUGCUGGAAUAUCGUAUUUCACCUGCAUACUUUGGAGAUACUGUGCACUAAAGAGUUCUUCAAAGGAAUGGACAGUAUUGAUUGGUAGAUGUUUUAAUGCCAUUCUCCAAAUGCUGUGCCCUGUUAACAAUCGUUUCAGCUAAUGUGUAAUAGGAUUGCUGUGCUGAGCUUGGGCUGACACCAGUGAAACUGUGAAGCUAUGGAGCAUGAGAAGGUGUAUGAACAUUGGCACUACCUUUGAGGAAUUGAGGCCUGCCUUUUUUUGGUCUGGUUCUCAUAGGAUAGUUUACAAGAAGCAGCACAGCAAAUAAGAACUUCCAGAAUUAUUUUGUUUUGUGGGAUUCAUUGUGGAAGAUGUCGGAUCUCGUUCACAAUUUAUUACAAAAACUUGUCUCCAUUCAAUGAAGAGCUGUUUGUUCCAUAU